rnacentral:rRNA from 1 species
GAUGAACGCUGGCGGCGUGCCUAAUACAUGCAAGUCGAGCGAAAGGACGCGAAGCUUGCUGCGCUGACGUUAGCGGAGGAGGGGAGAGAAACACGUGGAAAACCUACCUAUAAGACUGGGAUAACCUCGGGAAACGGGAGAAUAUACGGGAGAAUAUUUUGAAGCGAAGGGGUGAAAAGUGAAAGACGGCCUUGCGGUAACGAAUAGCUGGUUACGAGCUGCAUUAGCUAGUUGGUAAGGUAACGGGCUACGAAGGCAACGAUGCAUAGCCGACUUGAGAGGGGGAUCGCCCGCACUGGAGCUUGGACACGCUCCAGACGCCUGCGGGAGGCAGCAGUAGGGUAUCUGCCGCAACGGGCGGGAGCAUUACGGAACAACGCCGCGUGAGUGAUGAAGGUCUUCGGAUCGUAAAACUCUGUUAUUAGUGAAGAACAUCUGUGUAAGUAGCUGUGCACAUCUUGACGGUACCUAGUCAGAAAGCCCCGGCUAACUACGUG